AUACUGGCCGGAGACCGAUAGCGCACAAGUAGAGUGAUCGAAAGAUGAAAAGCACUUUGAAAAGAGAGUUAAACAGCACGUGAAAUUGUUGAAAGGGAAGCGUUUGCGACCAGACUCGCCCGCGGGGUUCAGCCGGCAUUCGUGCCGGUGUACUUCCCCGUGGGCGGGCCAGCGUCGGUUUGGGCGGCCGGUCAAAGGCCCUCGGAAUGUAUCACCUCUCGGGGUGUCUUAUAGCCGAGGGUGCAAUGCGGCCUGCCUGGACCGAGGAACGCGCUUCGGCUCGGACGCUGGCGUAGUGGUCGUAAAUGACCCGUCUUGAAACACGGACC
rnacentral:rRNA from 1 species